rnacentral:rRNA from 1 species
AGUGAACGCUGGCGGUAGGCCUAACACAUGCAAGUCGAACGGCAGCACAGUAAGAGCUUGCUCUUACGGGUGGCGAGUGGCGGACGGGUGAGGAAUACAUCGGAAUCUACUUUUUCGUGGGGGAUAACGUAGGGAAACUUACGCUAAUACCGCAUACGACCUACGGGUGAAAGCAGGGGAUCUUCGGACCUUGCGCGAUUGAAUGAGCCGAUGUCGGAUUAGCUAGUUGGCGGGGUAAAGGCCCACCAAGGCGACGAUCCGUAGCUGGUCUGAGAGGAUGAUCAGCCACACUGGAACUGAGACACGGUCCAGACUCCUACGGGAGGCAGCAGUGGGGAAUAUUGGACAAUGGGCGCAAGCCUGAUCCAGCCAUACCGCGUGGGUGAAGAAGGCCUUCGGGUUGUAAAGCCCUUUGGUUGGGAAAGAAAAGCAGCAGGUUAAUACCCCGCUGUUCUGACGGUACCCAAAGAAUAAGCACCGGCUAACUUCGUG